GGUUCUUUGAGGUCAAACGGAAGGAGUUGAUGGGAGGCGUCGCCGGCGCGUGUUUCGGUGAUUGUGGGCGCGUCCCCUGCUCCUCCGAUUGCGAGCUGCAGGUAAUCCUGCACACAGAUCCAAUGCUGAACAUGACAUCUGACUACAAUGAGCCCCUGCCUUGAUAUUCACAUCUUGUAGAAAGGAUUACACAUGACUUUUAGAUUGGAAGACCAAGGUGAGUUUUGGUGGCAGUGGUAAUCUCCAACCAAGUGGUGCCCCAAGUGGACGGCAAUGCGAUGUUUGUUGGUCCGCAGCUCAAACUCAUUGGUGUGUUCUAUUGAGUAACCUGACAUCUCCCUAACGCCAAUUCUGUUCUAUUUCUUGCAUCUUGUUUAACAUCUUGUGCUGGUUCAGGAUCUCCGUAAGGGAAGGGGGAGGAGCGAAUAUGUAAAGUGGUAAGCUCUCCUUGCCUGGCUGAAGCUGAAGCAAGGUUUAACAAGCUCCGGGACUCAUUGUUCUGAUACAAACAAGAUUAGCAGUAUUUAAGAGUAUGCACAUAG